AUAAAUAGGAAGUUCCCCAUCAAAAACCUCACAAUUACAAAUCCCUAAACUUUCCUCCCCCUCUCCCCUUCGGCUUCUCCGUGUCGUGCUGCGCUCCGCAUCCUGCCACACCGCACAACAUCAACAUCGAGCAGCAGCCAACACCCGCCGCUCCUCCCCGCCCUCGCUUGCCGCUCGCCUUCGUCGAGCCCUUUGGCCGGCCGGGGGGAAUUUCAAAUUGCUAGUUAAUUCUAAUUUAUGGCCCCAUACAUUAACUACUCAAGUUUAAACAUGACCUUAUAGGAGUUACUUGCAGGUGAAGUAAUGUCAGCAUUCGAGAUUGUGAAUGUUGAGAGUAUUUUAGUUGCAUGGUUUAAUAAACCCUGUUUUAAUAAAUGUCUAUACAAUAAUUUUCAAUAGUUAAUGAUUUUAAUUUAGUUUGGAUUUAAAGUUGGAUUUUAAUCAGGGUCUUUAAUGGUUUUGAAUUGUAAGGAGACCGUGUAUUAUUUAUGUCGAGUUUUAAAAGUUACUACCUCCGUUUUAUAAUUAUCUUUACGGUUACCGUUUGCACAAAUAUUAAGACAAAAGAAGGAGAAUGUGGGAAAAUGUGGAAGAAUAUAAUAAAAUAUUGAUAAAGUAAAAUGAAUGCGUAAAAAUGUGGGUGGGUGUAAGAAAAAAAAAUGAAUAAAGCAAGGGAAAGUGAUUAGGAAAUUGUAAAUGUUGUGGGGUAAGAGGGGUUAGAUUGUAAAUGUUUAUGUCCAAAAAUAGUAAAAAGCAUACAUUAUGAAACAGACUAAAACGAAAAGUUUAAAGAUCAUUUUGAAACGGAGGUAGUAAUUAUUAGUUGCACUGUGUUAUUCUGGUACGAGCCUUAGCCAUUAUCACGGUGACAGUAAUAUUCUAGUAAUUUCUUCUAUUUAGUCAAAAAAAUAGUUUUAUAAAAGCAAUUAAGAAAUUAUUAGGGUGUUACAAUACUAGUCUCUUAAAUCCCUGGAAUAGCCUUGCUUCGACAACGUGCAUUUUUAAGAAAAUCGGCUAAAAUGUCAUUUAAUAAGCGAAUUAAGUGGUUCCAUGCUCCCAAUAUGACCCCUAGGGACCCAUGGGGUAUUUGGGAAGCGUCCGGACCUCUAACGUUUCCGGUUUCCGAAAAUAUCCAAAUUUGCCAAAAUUGAAAGCUAUUUUAAUAAAUUGAAAUAUUAUUCACUAUCUUUUACCAGAUUUGGAGGUUCCAGGACCCGGUCUUAAAAUCUUCUCAAAUUUUGGAGAAUGUUUCCCUGGUCAUAUAACGAAAUUUGGAAUAAUAAAACCACUUGUAUUCGACAACAUGCGUUUUAAAAAAAAAAAUCAACUAAAAUGUCAUUUAAGAAACAAGUAGACGGUUGUGAGAAGUAAGCACCCACUAUGUGUCUAUGCCCCCAGGGAUCCAUGGGGUACAUGAGAAGAUCCAGACCUCUACAUUUCCAUGUCCAAAUUAAUUUGCUAAAAUUUUAAAGCAUGCAUGCGCUCUAUCUAGCAUAACUCCUAACCGAGAGUCCAAUCGAGGUGAUUAUUUUAAUCCCCCUUAUUUAUAAGAGUAAUAUGUAGCCAUAGUGGGCGACUAGUAUGAUGAUUCACGGAUAUGCUUGUUAACAAGAAAAAUCGAGGGUCGUACCUUGGUCUCCGGUGCUCCUAUUGAGGAGAUUUUUUUUCAAGAUCUACAAGACAUAAACUCCCAUAAGGGGUUUGGCUCGACGGAAUCGCCAAAAAUGCUCUAGCAUAUACUUAAAGUGCUAUUUUUAAAACUAUCAAGGAAAAAUUGCUUACUUAUGGCCUUGGUUAGUUUCAUUCCCACAUUGUUGAAUUUUUUUUUAAGUAUGGAGAUUGUAGGCACUUGCUGAGCCCCAUGCUAGGCGAGAUGGUAUGUGUAAGCAUUUGAUGAGCUCCGUUUUUGGGCGAGAUGGUGUGUGUAGGUCGUUGAUGAGCCCCAUGUUGGGUGAAGAAUGGUUUAUGUACCAAUGACUUUGAUAUUUUUCUUGUUUGUACACUAUUCGCCUAGAGGGAUAAUGAUCUAGUGUUAGACGAGUUGUGGCAUGAUUGCUUUCAUGAAUCAUUGGCUUAGAAAAUGUUUUUAAGUAAGGAACAUGUUGUGCAUAGUUCACUUGUUAGAGGGCCAAUGUGUCCCAUGAUUGGACGAGCGAUUGCAUAAUUGUUCUCAUUUUUCAAUGACUUAAAAAAUGUUUCUGAAUAUGGAAUCAAAAAACCUGAACCAAAUUUACGAUUAACAGAUCCAAUCUAGGGCUGGAUUUUUUUAAAAUUAAAAUACUCAAAUGAAAAAUACGGGUAACUAGAACCAAACCGAGUAUCACUCAGGACCAGAUACAUUCAACCUUUUAUGACUCCACAUACAUUCCCUUGAGUUUAUGGAUAUAGUUUACAGUAGGAAAAAUAACGACCUACUAGUUGGUUACUCAAAGGCAUGAAAUCACCUUGAUUAACAACUUGGUUUUGUAAUGUUUAAGAUCUUAAGCAGAUGAUUCUAAUAACCAAUAUGUCUCAUAGAGUUCAAUAGGGUGUAUAAAAAGCAUGCAGACCACUAACCUUUCAGGGUCAUAAAAUCCAAAGUAUCAAAAAUGAUGGCUACAAUUUUCCCGUUUAAAACAAAUUUGGAUAUCUGGGGACCUGGUUUUGGAAACUCCAACUAGUACUUGGGAGAAUGUAUCUAGAUGUUAUGUAAAGAUGUAUGGAACCAUAAAUAGCUACUAGAUAGUCACCUAAGGCCAUGUUUGGAAAAACUAACAAUAGUGGAUAAGUUUUAACAGGGUCGUCUUAAACUUUUCAGAGGCCCUGUUCUAAUCUUGUCCAAAUCUUAAAAAUGGGGCCCCUAAUAUUAAAAAAAAAAUUGCCUUAUCGGCUUUUCCUAAUCUUUAGCUUCAAAACAAAAGAAGGAAAAAAAAUUCGUAAGCCAGUAACGAAUUAAUAUAGGUACGAUAAAUUGAAAUUACAACAACAAAAAUAAUAGGAAUUCACGGAAAAAAUAGCAAAAAAUAAUUUGUAAUAGCAUAAAUUUUGUAAUUAACAGUACCAUCAAAAAAUUGAAAUUAACCGAAAAAAAUCAAAUAUAAUUAGCUAAAAAAUCUAAUUUCUUUGCGAGUAAGCACGAAUUCACCAAAUUAAGAAGUAUAAGAACUUCCCCUCAAAAAAAAGUAUAAGAACUUAAUAAGCACAAAAAAUCUGAGAUAAAAAUUGUAAUUAAGCACGGAAAAAAAAUUAACAAUUGAUUAAUCACAAAUAAUCUGAGAUAAAAACAACAAUUGAUUAAGCACAAAAAAUUAAGAAGAAAACAACAAUUGAUUUGAUAAAUAACAAUUAAAAUAAAAAAAUUGUUAAAUUUUCGCAAAUUCAAUUGUAAAAUAAAGAAAUCGGAAAUUCAAUUGUAAAAUAAAGAAAUCGAAAAUUCCAUUGUAAAAUAACGAAAUUAAGAAGAAAACAACAAUUGAUUUGAUAAAUUCGAAAAUACCUUUGCCUCUGUAAAUCUUGUUCUUCAUCUUCAACAAAUCCCAUUGGGUAAAAAACUAAAAAUCUAGCCGUUUGUUGCGAAAAAUUGGUUCCAUUGAUAGCAAAAUCUUUGUUUUUUCGGUCAAAUUGAAUAUUUGAAGCAUCUGAUGUGAAAUUUGAGUUGAAAUUUGAAAAUAAUUUUUUUGGAAUUGAGAAUUUGGAAUAGGAAAGAAAAGUAAAUUAGGGGAGAUGAAUCAUGAGUGAUUGAAUGGAGUUUGGAGUGUGAAUCUUGAGGAAGGAAAGUAGGAAAACUAAACUUGGGAAGUUGGUGAGGUGAUUGAUUUACCAAUUCCCAGGAAUUGAAUCGUUGAACGUGACUCGCUGAAGAUGAAGAUCAUUUUCUUUUUUUUUUUAAUAGGUAGGUUGGUCUUUUCGAAAUGGGACCUUUAUUUUCUGGUGGCCAUGUGCUGUUGACCAGGAUGCACAAGGCCACCAUCGUUUUAGCAGUUAGGUAGCUUAUAGCUGCCAACUAGUAGAAUGGUUAGGUGUCUAAGUUGGGUCCAUAAUAGUAGAAUUUGACUUAUUAAUGGUCAUAACAUAUUUAUUGCACUUUUAAUAAUAUUUAUUUAUUAAAUUAAAUAUGUUUAUUACCGAGUAUAUUUUAUUAAAGAUCACAUGACUCACGUCUUAUUAAAGAAGUGCGAAAACAAUAACGUUAAGUACAUUGUAAGAUUAAGGGCACAUGUGUCAUACUCGCACAUUGCUCGUUCGAAUCCCUAGACCUCAACUUUUACCACUAAGUCGUUACUUAAACCGCUAAUUUGCCAAACACCCACCACCGCUACUUUAACGUACCACUACCUUUGAACAUGGCCGAAGUGUUGUAGAUGAGAGUAGAAUGCCUAACCAGUAUAGGUUACCGCCUCAUAUCACAUUUGCCAGUAAAGUCAAUCAGGAAGAUACCAUCUGUGAUAUCUUUAGCAACUUCUAUCGCAAUUAUUAACUUGAAUUUGGAAGCAUUUUAGCAGAAACUCAUCAAGAUUGACUCAACAAAACUGAAAUUGUGAUUUCUUUAGCCAUUUUAAAAGGUGAAAUGUUUAUUAUCCUGAAGCAGAAGGUAUGCAUAUUCAGAACAGAAUGUUCUCUCAUCAGAGAUUUAUUUGACAUGCCAGUCUUCGUUUGAAAGUACAGGCUGCUGUCGUACUCCUGGUAGUGAUGCUCAUCGCCUUUUUCUAGAUAAAUGUCAAUCUUUUUUACUCUAUCUUUAAGAAAUUUGUAGUAAUCUGUCAAAUAAUAUGUUUUGUGCAAUUAACAAUGUAUUUGAAAUAUAGUCAAAUACAUGAAUUAAAACUAUCUACAUUUUCAGCAAUUCCGCAAAGCUACCAUGAACAAUAUAACCUACGGAGUCUAUCCAUCAGACAUCUCCAUCCUCAAAACAAGAAUUGGUCUCUCAUCCCCUUAAACAAAACAUCAAAGAACAAGGAAAAAGGAAAGAAACAAACACACA